rnacentral:tRNA from 1 species
GCCUUCGUGGUGUAACGGUAGCACACUCGGCGCGUAUUCGUGAGGUCCAGGUUCGAGUCCCGCCGAGGGCU